rnacentral:lncRNA from 1 species
AUAAUGCCACAAUAAACAUACGUGUGCAUGUGUCUUUAUAGCAGCAUGAUUUAUAGUCCUUUGGGUAUAUGAUUCCUUCCUCAGCUUGGUCUAUUCUGUUGUUAAUUCUUGCAGUUGCAUUACAACAUUCUUACAGUGUGUUUUUUCAACUUUAUUGGAUCAGUUUGAUGGUUUCUCCACAUAGCCAUUUUGUCUUUCAUUUCCUGUAUUGUUUUGUUGUAUUUUUUAGAUCUUUGGAUUGGAUUUCAACUUUCACCUAAAUCUCGAUGAUCUUUGUUCCUAUUCAUCUUCCGAAUUCUAUGUCCGUCAUUUCAGCCAUUUAAGCCUGGUUAAGAACCAUUGCUGUGGAACUAGUGUGGUCAUUUGGAGGUAAGAAGACACUCUGGCUUUUUGAGUUGCCAGAUUUCUUGCAUUAGUUCUUUCUUAUUUGUGUGGGCUGAUGUUCCCUCAAUCUUCAAAGUUUGAUGUCCUUUGGAUGGGUUUUUUUCUUUUAUCUUCUUUGAUGUCCUUGGGGUUUUGAUUGUGGUAUAAGAUGGGUGCAGUCAACUGGCUUCAAUUCUGGAAGAUUUCAGGAGUUCAUGGCUCGGCUCAGCACUCCUGUGCUGUGUUUUCUAACUCUGGAGGGCUGGUAGUGGGUGCCUGG